GAAUCUGAGUCAUAGGCAUCAGGGAAGGCUUUUCGUAGGAGUAGAUGUCUAUACCAAACCCUGAAGAAUGAAUAGAAAUAAGCUGUUAGAGAAGUUGGCGGAAAGUAGGGAGAUAAAGAGAAUAAGAAUAUUUACCAGGAAAACAAAAUAGAGAGCACCAAACCCCAGAGGAAAGAGACAGCAUGGAGUGUGGCUGGAGCAGAAAAUGUGUGUGGGAGGAAGAUCAUUCUGGUGUGAAAAUUGGUUUGGUUGGGGAUCAAGCCUGGAGCACUGGAAACAAAUUAGGAUACUAAAUCAGUUCUCAGAAUCGAAGUUGAAUGUCCUAACAAUAGGAAGAGAUUGAUUGGAGACAGAUUAAGGAGAUGGAACCCGUAAAAGACAUACUCAUAGGAUGAAGAGACUGUGUUAAAAAGGGGACAGAAAAAUGAUGGGAUACCUUGCUUGCACCUUUCCAGGUACUUCCAGAAAUGGAAAAGAAUGUAUUCGCAAGAUCAGUGGACACAUUUAAUGUCCUGAGGCAGCAUUAACCUGCUCUAGCAAAGAUACGUCAUCUGGCACAACAGCUGCAAUCGGAACAAGUAUUUGUUCAAGUUUAUGAGAGUCCACUGUCACCCUCCAAGACCUGUCUGCUUUUUCAGAGCAAUCGUGGUGUGUUAAAUGGCGCAUUAACAGGAUCAUCCCUGGCCGGGUGCGGUGGCUCACGCCUGUAAUCCUAGCACUUUGGGAGGCUGAGGA